rnacentral:rRNA from 1 species
AUUGAACGCUGGCGGCAUGCCUUACACAUGCAAGUCGAACGGCAGCGCGGGGCAACCUGGCGGCGAGUGGCGAACGGGUGAGUAAUAUAUCGGAACGUACCCUGGAGUGGGGGAUAACGUAGCGAAAGUUACGCUAAUACCGCAUACGAUCUAAGGAUGAAAGUGGGGGCAUCGCAAGACCUCAUGCUCCUGGAGCGGCCGAUAUCUGAUUAGCUAGUUGGUGGGGUAAAGGCCUACCAAGGCAUCGAUCAGUAGCUGGUCUGAGAGGACGACCAGCCACACUGGGACUGAGACACGGUCCAGACUCCUACGGGAGGCAGCAGUGGGGAAUUUUGGACAAUGGGCGCAAGCCUGAUCCAGCAAUGCCGCGUGAGUGAAGAAGGCCUCGGGUUG